rnacentral:rRNA from 1 species
GUAGGUGGCAAGCGUUGUCCGGAAUUAUUGGGCGUAAAGCGCGCGCAGGUGGUUCUUUAAGUCUGAUGUGAAAGCCCCCGGGCUCAACCGGGGAGGGUCAUCGGAAACUGGGGAACUUGAGUGCAGGAGAGGAAAGUGGAAUUCCACGUGUAGCGGUGAAAUGCGUAGAUAUGUGGAGGAACACCAGUGGCGAAGGCGACUUUCUGGCCUGUAACUGACACUGUGGCGCGAAAGCGUGGGGAGCAAACAGGAUUAGAUACCCUGGUAGUCCACGCCGUAAACGAUGAGUGCUAAGUGUUGGGGGGUUUCCGCCCCUCAGUGCUGCAGCUAACGCAUUAAGCACUCCGCCUGGGGAGUACGGUCGCAAAGACUG